CACGUAGGGCGCGAGCGUUGUCCGGAAUUAUUGGGCGUAAAGAGCUCGUAGGCGGCCUGUUGCGUCCGCUGUGAAAGCCCGGGGCUUAACCCCGGGUCUGCAGUGGAUACGGGCAGGCUAGAGGUAGGUAGGGGAGAAUGGAAUUCCCGGUGUAGCGGUGAAAUGCGCAGAUAUCGGGAGGAACACCGGUGGCGAAGGCGGUUCUCUGGGCCUUACCUGACGCUGUGGAGCGAAAGCGUGGGGAGCGAACAGG
rnacentral:rRNA from 1 species